CCCUUUGAUACUCUGGGCGGCACGCGCGCUACAAUGGAUAACUUAACGUGUUACAUGUCCGAAAGGAUGUAUGCAAAUCACAAAUGUUAUGUCUCGAGUGGGAUAGUUUACUGCAAUUAUAGACUUGAACUAGGAAUCCCUUGUAGGUACACUGAAGCAUAGUGUACCGAAUACGUCCCUGCCCUUUGUACACACCGCCCGUCGCACCUACCGAUUGAAUGGUCCGGUGAAGCCUCGGGAUUGUGGCCAGUUCACUUUAUUGGGAGUUGGCUGUGAGAACUUGUCUAAACCUUAUCAUUUAGAGGAAGGUGAAGUCGUAACA
rnacentral:rRNA from 1 species